AACAGGAUUAGAUACCCUGGUAGUCCACGCCGUAAACGAUGUCGACUUGGAGGUUGUGCCCUUGAGGCGUGGCUUCCGGAGCUAACGCGUUAAGUCGACCGCCUGGGGAGUACGGCCGCAAGGUUAAAACUCAAAUGAAUUGACGGGGGCCCGCACAAGCGGUGGAGCAUGUGGUUUAAUUCGAUGCAACGCGAAGAACCUUACCUGGUCUUGACAUCCACAGAACUUUCCAGAGAUGGAUUGGUGCCUUCGGGAACUGUGAGACAGGUGCUGCAUGGCUGUCGUCAGCUCGUGUUGUGAAAUGUUGGGUUAAGUCCCGCAACGAGCGCAACCCUUAUCCUUUGUUGCCAGCGGUCCGGCCGGGAACUCAAAGGAGACUGCCAGUGAUAAACUGGAGGAAGGUGGGGAUGACGUCAAGUCAUCAUGGCCCUUACGACCAGGGCUACACACGUGCUACAAUGGCGCAUACAAAGAGAAGCAAUCUCGCGAGAGCUAGCGGACCUCAUAAAGUGCGUCGUAGUCCGGAUUGGAGUCUGCAACUCGACUCCAUGAAGUCGGAAUCGCUAGUAAUCGUGAAUCAGAAUGUCACGGUGAAUACGUUCCCGGGCCUUGUACACACCGCCCGUCACACCAUGGGAGUGGGUUGCAAAAGAAGUAGGUAGCUUAACCUUCGGGAGGGCGCUUACCACUUUGUGAUUCAUGACUGGGGUGAAGUCGUAACAAGGUAACC
rnacentral:rRNA from 1 species